GUGGGGAAUAUUGCACAAUGGGGGAAACCCUGAUGCAGCGACGCCGCGUGAAGGAAGAAGUAUUUCGGUAUGUAAACUUCUAUCAGCAGGGAAGAAAAUGACGGUACCUGACUAAGAAGCCCCGGCUAACUACGUGCCAGCAGCCGCGGUAAUACGUAGGGGGCAAGCGUUAUCCGGAUUUACUGGGUGUAAAGGGAGCGUAGACGGCAUGGCAAGUCUGGUGUGAAAGGCAGGGGCUCAACCCCUGGACUGCAUUGGAAACUGUCAGGCUGGAGUGCAGGAGAGGUAAGUGGAAUUCCUAGUGUAGCGGUGAAAUGCGUAGAUAUUAGGAGGAACACCAGUGGCGAAGGCGACUUACUGGACUGUAACUGACGUUGAGGCUCGAAAGCGUGGGGAGCAAACAGGAUUAGAAACCCUAGUAGUCC
rnacentral:rRNA from 1 species